rnacentral:sRNA from 1 species
AUGUACCACGCGUACACUGCGGUUCUGAGCGCGCCGUCCGCACCCACCUGACGACUGCUCGCUACGUUUUGUUAGCC